rnacentral:rRNA from 1 species
CAAACAGGAUUAGAUACCUGGUAGUCACGCUGUAAACGAUGUCGAUUUGGAGUUUGUUGCCUAGAGUGAUGGGCUCCGAAGCUAACGCGAUAAUCGACCGCCUGGGGAGUACGGCCGCAAGGUUAAACUCAAAUGAAUUGACGGGGGCCCGCACAAGCGGUGGAGCAUGUGGUUUAAUUCGAUGCAACGCGAAGAACCUUACCUGGUCUUGACAUCCAUAGAAUUCUGCAGAGAUGUGGGAGUGCCUUCGGGAACUAUGAGACAGGUGCUGCAUGGCUGUCGUCAGCUCGUGUUGUGAAAUGUUGGGUUAAGUCCCGCAACGAGCGCAACCCUUAUUCUUUGUUGCCAGCGAUUUGGUCGGGAACUCAAAGGAGACUGCCGUUGAUAAAGCGGAGGAAGGUGGGGACGACGUCAAGUCAUCAUGGCCCUUACGACCAGGGCUACACACGUGCUACAAUGGCGUAUACAAAGGGAAGCGAAGGUGCGAGCUGGAGCGGAUCUCAUAAAGUACGUCUAAGUUCGGAUUGGAGUCUGCAACUCGACUCCAUGAAGUCGGAAUCGCUAGUAAUCGUAGAUCAGAAUGCUACGGUGAAUACGUUCCCGGGCCUUGUACACACCGCCCGUCACACCAUGGGAGUGGGUUGCACCAGAAGUAGAUAGCUUAACCGCGAGGGGGGCGUUUACCACGGUGUGAUUCAUGACUGGGGUGAAGUCGUAACAAGGUAACCA